GCUCCACUCCGUUCCCAAUAGCAGUAGAAUCAUAUGGUCAAUACAAACAAGUGCAGGAUGUCAAUCAAGUGACAGAGCCGGGGCAGAUGAUCUUUAGCCAACUACUCCUUAUGAAUCUGAAUGGAAUGCAUAUCUCAAUUGGGAAGAAAGCAAAGGUCGAGGGUCAAUACUUGAAAAUGAAGGAUCAGGAGAUGCAAACUAAGAUUUCCGAUCUAGAUCUGGUUCAUCACCGGCACCCAAUGGUUUUCUUCGGAGAAAGAUCAGAUAUUCGUUUAUUCAGUGCAAAUCCGGAUUCCGGCACCAAGGA
rnacentral:misc_RNA from 1 species